GAGAGAGUAAGAUUGACCCUGAAAAAUUGCUAGUUUUUCAGACCCGUGGUUUAAGUCCACGGCUCGCUCG
rnacentral:tRNA from 1 species